GGAUGAACGCUGGCGGCGUGCUUAACACAUGCAAGUCGAACGGAAAGGCCCAAGCUUGCUUGGGUACUCGAGUGGCGAACGGGUGAGUAACACGUGGGUGAUCUGCCCUGCACUUCGGGAUAAGCCUGGGAAACUGGGUCUAAUACUGGAUAGGACCACUUCUUGGAUGUUGUGGUGGAAAGUUUUUUCGGUGUGGGAUGAGCUCGCGGCCUAUCAGCUUGUUGGUGGGGUAAUGGCCUACCAAGGCGUCGACGGGUAGCCGGCCUGAGAGGGUGUACGGCCACAUUGGGACUGAGAUACGGCCCAGACUCCUACGGGAGGCAGCAGUGGGGAAUAUUGCACAAUGGGCGCAAGCCUGAUGCAGCGACGCCGCGUGGGGGAUGACGGCCUUCGGGUUGUAAACUCCUUUCGCUAGGGACGAAGCGUUUUGUGACGGUACCUGGAGAAGAAGCACCGGCUAACUACGUG
rnacentral:rRNA from 1 species